rnacentral:rRNA from 1 species
UACGGGGGGGGGCAAGCGUUGUUCGGAAUUACUGGGCGUAAAGGGCUCGUAGGUGGCCAACUAAGUCAGACGUGAAAUCCCUCGGCUUAACCGGGGGACUGCGUCUGAUACUGGAUGGCUGGAGUAUGGGAGAGGAAUGCGGAAUUCCAGGUGUAGCGGUGAAAUGCGUAGAUAUCUGGAGGAACACCGGUGGCGAAGGCGGCAUUCUGGACCAUUACUGACGCUGAGGAGCGAAAGCCAGGGGAGCAAACGGG